AGAAUUCUUAACGGUGGAUCACUCGGCUCACAUGUCGAUGAAGACCGCAGCU
rnacentral:rRNA from 1 species